GCACGGAGGAAUGUUUGCAUCCCAUCCCAAGGCAGCUGCCGGCCCUGACCCCCCAUGGCUUUGGGGGUUUGCGAGGUGCCUCAGAAACCCAUUUCGGGUUCACAGCCCCAGCGGUGCCCAGCGGCUGAAGUCGACGCUGCUGCCAGAAGGGCCGGUCUCGCGCCCACCACAUCUCCUUGGGCCAGCCCUGGCAUCCACACGGCCACUCAGCCAGCCAGCACGCUGAACGUCCUGCAGAUUAACCCUACGGAAGGGAGAACAAGGAGGGAGGAUUGCUCCGAGACCAAGCGGCCCCCUGUGCCACGGGCCGCGCAGCCAAAGAAGCACAAGUGUCAGCGCAGGGGAGAGAGCAAGGGCGUGCGGCCGGCUGGGGGAGCUGCCUUCUGGCAGGAGCCCAGGGUGACAGGGUGGCUCCAGAGACCACAGGACAGCCGGUCGCCUCGUGUCAGAAAUCCUGUCUUCCAAGAACGACAAAACGUUGCCUCGCCCUUCACUUCUCCGGUAUUUUGUUUAUCCUGCUGUGGACACCAGCAGAUCUUAUCCCGUCCUUUGCAGCUAUUUUUAACCUGGACGUGUUCUGUGAUUUGUUUCACGCACAGCACUGAAAUGGCACAGCUGAGGGAGCAAGUAAACCCUCGAUCUGUCUGCUCACACCUUCAUGCCAGACCAGCCUCUCAGAGCCAAGGAUCUGCACUGCUCCCAGAAACCUUCCAGCCUUCUCCCUGCACUCAGCUCUCACCGUGUUGCGUGUUGACCAAGGACAUCAUCUGCCUUUCUGCAGCAGAGGUACCUACAGAUCACAUUCCUGCACAGAUCACUUGA
rnacentral:lncRNA from 1 species